GACGAACGCUGGCGGCGUGCCUAACACAUGCAAGUCAGGGAUUGAAUGAAGGGUAGCAAUUACUUUUUUAUUCAGUACCGGCGCACGGGUGAGUAACACGUAGGUAAUCUACCCUCAGGCGGGGAACAACAUCGAGAAAUCGGUGCUAAUACCGCAUGACGCAACGAGACCACAUGAUCUUGUUGUUAAAGAUCCGCAAGGAUCACCCGAGGAUGAACCUGCGCCCGAUUAGCUAGUUGGCGGAGUAAUAGCCCACCAAGGCAACGAUCGGUAGCCGACCUGAGAGGGUGAUCGGCCACACUGGAACUGAGACACGGUCCAGACUCCUACGGGAGGCAGCAGUGAGGAAUAUUGGUCAAUGGCCGAAAGGCUGAACCAGCAACGCCGCGUGAGGGAUGAAGUAUUUCGGUAUGUAAACUUACGAAAGAAUAGGAAGAAUAAAUGACGGUACUAUUUAUAAGGUCCGGCUAACUACGUGCCAGCAGCCGC
rnacentral:rRNA from 1 species